rnacentral:rRNA from 1 species
UACGGAGGGUGCGAGCGUUGUCCGGAAUCACUGGGCGUAAAGGGCGCGUAGGCGGCCUGAUAAGUAGGGGGUGAAAUCCUGCGGCUUAACCGCAGGGCUGCCUUCUAAACUGUCAGGCUAGAGCACAGUAGAGGCAGGUGGAAUUCCCGGUGUAGCGGUGGAGUGCGUAGAGAUCGGGAAGAACAUCAGUGGCGAAGGCGGCCUGCUGGGCUGUUGCUGACGCUGAGGCGCGACAGCGUGGGGAGCAAACAGG